GAAAAAUAGAAUAGAACCGAAUAGAAAGAAAGAAAAGAACCUAAAAUCAUUGAUCUUCCUCAUACUCCAUUUCCCCUCUCUCUUCUUCACCUCUCUUCUUAAACACCGUGAAUCAACUACCAGCAGCAACCACCUCCGGCCAACCACACAUGCCUCCACCUCCUCUUUUCUUUCCCCAUUUUUCCUUUGGUCUAAUGUUGAGCAGCAGGAAGAUCAUAGACUGGCGUACCAGGUAUCUGGAGCAUCUUUUGCAUUGCUUUGGGGGAGUGUGUAGUGCAAAGCAUAACUCGUGUUAUGCAAACGUCUUUUGAUUUUGUAGUUCUUAUGUCUUUUGCAAACUUUGUCUGUAUAUCAUAUGAGGCCUUGUGUCCUCCUUUGUAUUAUUUAAAUUUUUUGCUGCGUAGGUUAUGGCUUUGUAUUGUUUAAAGUAUUUUAUUAUUUUGUUUUAGAACUCAAGCGUCGACACUGGAACCACAAUCCAUGCUUGCCAUGAGUAUUUGAGGAGCCGACGAUGAAUCAUACCGUCGUGUCUUGGUUCCGUAUUAGGGGUAAGAAAUUCAAUGGUGUUACAGUGGGUGUGCUUGAAAAAGCAGAUACAUAGCUAGGAUGAGCACCUUGAAGAAUGUAAAUAGAAUGUUGCUUAAAGAGCCUGCUCGAACGAGCACUUGUGUGGCUCGAACAAGCAGGUUGACUUGGUUCACUUUGAAUGUUGUUUUUUGUCUCUUGAACUUCUUGAGGUUGGUUAUUAUAUAUUUAAAUCUUAGAUUUAAGUGUUGAAUCUCAUUAAAUGUAAUUAGCCCUGUAAAUAGGGAGCUCAUAUGCUUAUCCAAAAUAUCCAAGCCUAAAACACAUAGCCUAUAUCUCUUCUCCAUUGCAAUUCUCCAAUUUGAGAGUUCUUUAAACUACAUUGUGAUAAAUAAGUGAGAUAUUACACACCUCCGAGAAUGUAGCCAAAAUUGGGUGAACCUCAUAAAUCAUGUGUCAUUUUUAUUGCAUUUGUCUCUUACAAAUAUUGUUUUCAUUGAAAGUGUAAUUUAUUCAUUACAAGACUUUAUACCCUCGAUCUUGGUGAUAUUGGAGUUUAAAACAUAUUGUUUGAACUCUAUUAUAGCAUCGUUUUCACUUGGUCUUGUAUUAAAUUGUGAAUUGCAUUUUUGCAUUUAUGAGUUUAAAUUGAAACAAUUGGUAGUUAAAAUGGGCUAUUGCUCAAGUUUUGAGACAAAUGUGAAAAUUUAAUUUACCAAAUUUUAAAUGUUUAUGCUAUUUUUGGUGGAUUAAAUGUAGUUGCAAUCUUUUGAAAUUGAGGUAGGAAUUAUUAGAUUUAUCAAAAAGUUGAUUGUCGCUGGUGUCGAGGUGUCUUUUUAGAGGUAAAUUAUAAUUAACUGUCCCAAAAAAUAUACAUUAAACUAUGAUUCUGAUGUGUCAUUAUUUAUAAGAAAAUAGUAAUAGAAGGACAAGUUUGGAUUAGUUCAUGUAUUUGGAUUAGUUCAUAGUUAACAUUAUGAGAUAAAUAUCAUGCCAUAGUGAGAGUAUGGUAGUUUUGUGCAAAAUUGAUGACCAUAUGCGGUGGACCGCUUUGUACAUGCUAAUCAAUGACCAUAAAUAUAGGCUUUUACAUUCGACAACAAUGAUAAAUAGAUAGUAUUGGCUAAUCAACAUACUGAAUCCCAUGAAUAGAAUCAGGGAAAGGGAAAUUUAUGAAAUUAACACCCUGGUUUAGGUCACCUGUGUUUAUCAAAAUGUAUUGGCUAAUCAACAUUGAGCAAACAUUACAAUA